rnacentral:rRNA from 1 species
UUAAAAAGAAAUUUGUUUAAUCAAUUUAGUUUGAUAGUUUAAAAUUUAUUAAUUUAAUUUAAGUAAAUUUUGUAUAAAAAAAAUAUUUUUUUAUUUUAGUAUUUUUAAGAAAAAUUUUAUUUUAUGAUAGUUUAUAGUAUUGUGAAAGAAAAUUAAAAAUUUUAUCAUAGAAAAAUUUAUUUUUUGUACCUUGUGUAUCAGGGUUUAUUAAAAUUAAUUAAAAAUUUAAUAUUCUCGAAGUUAAAAGAGCUAAAGAUUUAUAAUUUUUAUUGUAAAAUAAAUAUAUUUAAUAGAUUUUUAGUAAUGAAAUGUUAUUCGUUUUUAAAUAUAUCUAGUUUUUUAAGAAAAAAAUUUAAUUUUAUUUUUAUUAAUAUAAGUUUUAGUUGUUAAUAUUAUAUUAAUAAAAGCAAAUAUUUUUAGGGAAAAGCUUAAAAAUAUAGUUUUAUUAAAAAAUAGUAAUUAAAAAUAUUCAGGAUUAGAAAUUUUCAUAAUUUUUUGUAUGUUAUAAUUUAUUUUUAUAACUUAAUAUUUAUAUUUUUUAUAAAUUUUUUAUUAAAAUAUAAUUUUUAAUUUUUAAAAUUUAAAAAUAAUGAUAAAAUUAGUAUAAAUUUUUAUACUAUUAAGUAUUGAAUUUAGGUAAAUUUUAGGAACUCGGCAAAUUUAUUUUUCACCUGUUUAUUAAAAACAUGUCCUUUUGUGGAAAAUUUAAGGUCUCGCCUGCCCAAUGAAUUUUUAAAUGGCCGCGGUAUUUUGACCGUGCUAAGGUAGCAUAAUCAUUAGUUUUUUAAUUGAAAGCUGGAAUGAAGGGUUGGAUGAAAAAAUAGCUGUCUUAAAUUUAAUUUUUUAGAAUUUUAUUUUUAAGUUAAAAAGCUUAAAUAUUUUUAAAAGACGAGAAGACCCUAUAGAGUUUUAUAAUAUAAAUUUAUAAAAAUUUAGAAUUAAUUUUUUUUUAUAUUAAUUAUUAUUUAAUUGGGGUGAUUGAAAAAUUUAAUUAACUUUUUUUUUAUUUGUAUAUUUAUAAAUAAAUUUAUGAUCCUAUAUUUUAGAUUAUAAGAAUAAGUUACCUUAGGGAUAACAGCGUAAUUUUAUUAGAGAGUUCAAAUCGAAAAUAAAGAUUGCGACCUCGAUGUUGGAUUAAAGUAACUUUUUGGUGUAGAAGCUAAAAUAUUAAGUCUGUUCGACUUUUAAAACUUUACAUGAUCUGAGUUUAAACCGGUGUAAGCCAGGUUGGUUUCUAUCUUUAAAUAGUUAAUAUAUUUUAGUACGAAAGGACCAGGUAU